GACGAACGCUGGCGGCGUGCUUAACACAUGCAAGUCGAGCGGUAAGGCCCUUUCGGGGGUACACGAGCGGCGAACGGGUGAGUAACACGUGGGUGACCUGCCCUCAGCUCUGGGAUAAGCCUGGGAAACUGGGUCUAAUACUGGAUAUGACUCCACGGUGCAUGUCGUGGGGUGGAAAGCCUUGUGCGGCUGAGGAUGGGCCCGCGGCCUAUCAGCUUGUUGGUGGGGUGAUGGCCUACCAAGGCGACGACGGGUAGCCGGCCUGAGAGGGCGACCGGCCACACUGGGACUGAGACACGGCCCAGACUCCUACGGGAGGGCAGCAGUGGGGAAUCUUGCGCAAUGGGCGAAAAGCCUGACGCAGCGACGCCGCGUGAGGGAUGACGGCCUGUGUAACUAC
rnacentral:rRNA from 1 species